GAUGAAGAACGUAGCGAAAUGCGAUAAGUAAUGUGAAUUGCAGAAUUCAGUGAAUCAUCGAAUCUUUGAACGCACAUUGCGCCCGCCAGUAUUCUGGCGGGCAUGCCUGUUCGAGCGUCAUUUCAACCCUCAGGCCCCCAGUGCCUGGUGUUGGGGAUCGGCCCAGCCUUCCUGUAAGGCCGCCGGCCCCGAAAUCUAGUGGCGGUCUCGCUGUAGUCCUCCUCUGCGUAGUAGCACAACCUCGCAGUUGGAACGCGGCGGUGGCCAUGCCGUUAAACACCCCACUUCUGAAAGUUGACCUCGGAUCAGGUAGGAAUACCCGUUGAACUUAAGCAUAUCAAUAAGCGGAGGA
rnacentral:misc_RNA from 1 species